AUUGAACGCUGGCGGCAGGCCUAACACAUGCAAGUCGAACGAGUGGCGGACGGGUGAGUAAUGUCUGGGAAACUGCCUGAUGGAGGGGGAUAACUACUGGAAACGGUAGCUAAUACCGCAUACCAUCAGAUGUGCCCAGAUGGGAUUAGCUAGUUGGUGGGGUAACGGCUCACCAGGGCGACGAUUCCUAGCUGGUCUGAGAGGAUGACCGGCCACACUGGAACUGAGACACGGGCCAGACUCCUACGGGAGGCAGCAGUGUGUAAUUGUGCACAAUGGGCGCAAGCCUUAUGCAGCCGUGCCGCGUGUAUGAAGAAGGCCUUCGGGUUGUAAAGUACUUUCAGCGGGGAGGCGUUACCCGCAGAAGAAGCACCGGCUAACUCCGUGCCAGCAGCCGCGGUAAUAC
rnacentral:rRNA from 1 species